rnacentral:misc_RNA from 1 species
GUUUGAUUUUCAAAUUUUCAGAAAAUGGAGAAUUCUUCGAUACAUUCUGAGGUUAAAAUGGAGGUUGGUCUUGAGGAUGCCCUGGAGGUGAAGCCCGAGGUGUACGUCAAGGAAGAGCAGGAUGAGGAUGAGGAUGAGUAUGAGUAUGAAGAUGAGUAUGAGGAUGAGUAUGGAGAGACGGAUGAAGAAAUUGCGAGGAUACAGUUCGAGAAAAUGAUGGAAGGUGUCGAGAAACUUAUGAAAGAAGAAACCCCUGUCCCCUUUUAUUAUCCUUGUGAUGAAUGCGAGUAUUCAGCAACCGGAUUAUACAAUUUAAAGAGACACAAGGAUACUCGUCACGUAGAAAGAAAUCAUAAAUGUGAAGAGUGCGGAUAUUUUGCUAAAAGUGAAACAAAUCUGAAGAAUCACAAAUCCCAAAAACACAAAAAAGUUGGCGAUUUUAAAUGUGAUAUUUGUGAUCAUCUCGUUGGGACACAGAGUGGAUUAAUACAUCACAUGAAAACUAAACAUGGUGGAAUUGAAUAUCCUUGUGAUAAAUGUGACUAUAAAGCCUCUGAUUUGAAGGGUUUGAAAAAACAUCAAAAGAAUAAACACAGCGGAAUACAAUUUCACUGUGUCGAAUGUGUGUUUUCGACCAACACCGCGAGAAACCUAGAUUGGCACAUGGAUAGAAAUCAUCCGAUUGAAUCGUCUCCCUGUGAUUCUUGUGAAUUAGUCGCUCCAACAAGAAUAGCUUUGAGAGAUCACAGGAGAAUUAAACAUUCAGGAUUCCUGUGUGAUCAAUGCAGUUAUGUUGCUCCCUAUGAAAGUGCUCUAAAAUCUCACAAAGGAAUGGUCCACGAAGGAAAGCGAGUUCCUUGUGAUCAGUGUGAUUAUACCGCAGGGUCUAAAGGAACCUUGAAACGACACAUUGAGUCUACACAUCAGGGUAUUCGGUAUCUGUGCGAUCAAUGCUAUUUCUCCACGUCAUCCGCCAAAUAUUUGAAGGAUCACAAACUGAAUAAACAUGAAGGUGUAACGUAUCCCUGUGAUCAGUGUGAGUAUAGAGGACCAUGUUAUAGUAAUCUACAAUCUCACAAACAAAUCAGACAUGGUGAUAAAAAUGCUAAAUUUCUGUGCGAUCAGUGCGAUUAUUUUGCAAAUAGUAAAAUUGCGCUAGGCAAUCAUAAACUGCGAAAACACACUGAUGUAAUAUAUACCUGUGACGUCUGUGAUUAUACGACAACAAGAAAAGAUUUUCUAAAAAGACACAACGAGGCCAAACAUGUUGGUAUUCGAUAUCCUUGUGACCAGUGCAGCUAUGAGGCUACACAGAAGGGUAAUUUAAACACGCACAAGUUGAAUAAGCACAAAUAGAGUUGGGUUCAAUUCUAUUGCACAAGUUUACGUUUGACUUUUUAUCUGAGCCCGCGAUUUACAAGCUUUGGCUCGAUUUUUAAAUCGCGGGCUCUGAUGUGAUAAUUUUACGCUUAGCUCUUAACCAUAUAAAAAAUGACACUACAUUCUACUUAAGUAAUUAGACAUAACGUCUACAUUGCUCGGUCCUGCUUUCUCUAUAUGAUUGAAAUAAAAUCAAUUCUCGUUAAAUCAGAAAAUGUUGACUGAUCAAAUAGAUAAA